CGUUAGUAUCGAGCUAGAUGAAUUAUUUAAAGCGUACUUUGUAGUAGAGCGAAGCCUUUUGUCUCCUUCGCCAUCACGAGAAUCAUCAGAACUCGUUGUUUUACUCAUAACUGUACUUUGUUGAAGAGCAGUGGUCAAAUGCUGCGAGCUGAGAUUACACGCUGAGUAAGGGUAAUGCACCAGCUCAAUUUACGAAAAUGCGAUAAGGAUCGUUAAAAAUACAACCUAUGCGAGACGGUUUUAAGCUAAAGGGGUAAGAGGAGAGAGGUGGAGCACAUAUAAGGAGGCUUUGACAAGUUACCGUGUUUAUGGUGGGACGCGUAAAACCAAUUGAAAUGGGCUCAUUUAGGCUUGGAAUAUUGCGUAAAUUGUAUUGAGAAAUGCAAUAAAAACAACAUAACGUCUUAGGAGCUAAUAAUGGUAAAUUAAAUUGCGUGAAUACUAGUAGCAUUUCUAGGUAAGGUUAGAUAAGGCGCAUUUUAUAUACUUAUUUCGGUAAAGACCUUAAUGCAAGUACGCUACUUUUCGAUAGGUCAUCUAUGUAAACACACAGGUGGAAAUUCAAGGUGAACAGAAAGAUUUGAUUCCAGGUGCCGUAGUAACGUAUGCUAUAUUUUACUACAUAAAGAAAUAAAGCAAAUGUUACUGCUUAAAAUUAUAUAUACUUUCUUCCUGGCAUCGCACAAGCAUUUGAUAAUGUGAAAUUUUGAUUACUUACCAAGAAGGGCUAUUCUCAAUGUUCGUUACUAGUAUUUACGGAAAUUACAGAAUAA